GUGAUGGGGCAAGAAAAUGGGCCAUCUGUGAAACUGUGCUCUCUUAGGAGUAAUUGGUAGUGUGUAUCAAAAUUUAAUCCUUCUGCCCUAUGAUCAAGCCACCAUCAGGAUUCUGUCCUCCUACAUGGUUAGAGACAUUUAUAUACAGACAACUGUCGUGGCUGUGUUUUAACAGUAAAAAGUGCAGGAGGUGGCAAAUGCCUAUAGUCCCAGCAGCUCAGGAGGCUGAAGCAGUUCAAGGCCAGCCUCAGCAACUUAGCAAGAC
rnacentral:lncRNA from 1 species